AGAGUUUGAUCCUGGCUCAGGAUGAACGCUGGCGGCGUGCUUAACACAUGCAAGUCGAACGGACUCAUAUUGAAACCUAGUGAUUUAUGAGUUAGUGGCGGACGGGUGAGUAACGCGUGGAUAACCUGCCGUAUACCGGGGGAUAACACUUGGAAAUAGGUGCUAAUACCGCAUAAGCGCACGGCUCCGCAUGGGGCAGUGUGAAAAACUCCGGUGGUAUACGAUGGAUCCGCGUCUGAUUAGCUAGUUGGCGGGGUAACGGCCCACCAAGGCAGCGAUCAGUAGCCGGCCUGAGAGGGUGGACGGCCACAUUGGGACUGAGACACGGCCCAAACUCCUACGGGAGGCAGUAGUGGGGAAUAUUGCACAAUGGGGGAAACCCUGAUGCAGCGACGCCGCGUGAGUGAAGAAGUAUCUCGGUACGUAAAGCUCUAUCAGCAGGGAAGAAAAUGACGGUACCUGACUAAGAAGCCCCGGCUAACUACGUG
rnacentral:rRNA from 1 species